GUGCAUGCUCGGUCUAGCUAAAUGCUAACAUGCUAUCUGUCAGUGGAACCUCCACGUGCACGCAGAAACUUGUAGCUACAUUUGAGGUGUGUACCACAUUUUCUCCUGUUCAGUCCCUGCUGUGGCUGCAGAGCGGAGUUCAACUCAAAAUGUUUGAAGGAGACGGAGACACGGUAGAGGCUGAGUGGACUGCUUAUGUUGUAGACUGAGAAUGAACGAGCAGAGAAGUUGAACCAAGAGCAGAUGUCCAGACAGAUGAACAUGACCAGCGCCGGAUUCCCACCUGCAAUCACUGCCCAUUGUGUUUGUUGGAUCGACCAGGUCUGCACUGUCAGGAACUGGACCCAGGUCUCUGCAGCUGUAAGCAGUGCACUACCGGCCUAAUGACACACAAGACUGCUGGGGCUGUGCCUAUGGAGAGACAACAGUUAUACUAUGACCAUUAUUUUAGUACUAGUGUCCCUGUUUGGAGCUUUACUGCAAGAACAACACUGCUUGAGUGUGGCAGCAGCU